CCUACGGGAGGCAGCAGUGGGGAAUAUUGCACAAUGGGGGAAACCCUGAUGCAGCGACGCCGCGUGAGUGAAGAAGUACUUCGUUAUGUAAAGCUCUAUCAGCAGGGAAGAAAAUGACGGUACCUGAGUAAGAAGCCCCGGCUAACUACGUGCCAGCAGCCGCGGUAAUACGUAGGGGGCAAGCGUUAUCCGGAUUUACUGGGUGUAACGGGAGCGUAGACGGCAGUGCAAGUAUGGAGUGAAAGGCGGGGGCUCAACCCCCGGACUGCUCUGGAUACUGUACGGCUGGAGUGCAGGAGAGGUAAGUGGAAUUCCUAGUGUAGCGGUGAAAUGCGUAGAUAUUAGGAGGAACACCAGUGGCGAAGGCGGCUUACUGGACUGUAACUGACGUUGAGGCUCGAAAGCGUGGGGAGCAAACAGGAUUAGAUACCCCAGUAGUC
rnacentral:rRNA from 1 species